rnacentral:rRNA from 1 species
GACGAACGCUGGCGGCGUGCUUAACACAUGCAAGUCGAACGGAAAGGCCCUGCUUUUGUGGGGUGCUCGAGUGGCGAACGGGUGAGUAACACGUGAGUAACCUGCCCUUGACUUUGGGAUAACUUCAGGAAACUGGGGCUAAUACCGGAUAGGAGCUCCUGCUGCAUGGUGGGGGUGGGAAAGUUUCGGCGGUUGGGGAUGGACUCGCGGCUUAUCAGCUUGUUGGUGGGGUAGUGGCUUACCAAGGCUUUGACGGGUAGCCGGCCCGAGAGGGUGACCGGCCACAUUGGGACUGAGAUACGGCCCAGACUCCUACGGGAGGCAGCAGUGGGGAAUAUUGCACAAUGGGCGGAAGCCUGAUGCAGCAACGCCGCGUGCGGGAUGACGGCCUUCGGGUUGUAAACCGCUUUCGCCUGUGACGAAGCGUGAGUGACGGUAAUGGGUAAAGAAGCACCGGCUAACUACGUG